rnacentral:rRNA from 1 species
UACGAAGGGUGCAAGCGUUAAUCGGAAUUACUGGGCGUAAAGCGUGCGCAGGCGGUUCGGAAAGAGAGGUGUGAAAUCCCAGGGCUUAACCUUGGAACUGCACUUUUAACUACCGGGCUAGAGUACGUCAGAGGGGGGUAGAAUUCCACGUGUAGCAGUGAAAUGCGUAGAGAUGUGGAGGAAUACCGAUGGCGAAGGCAGCCCCCUGGGAUGAUACUGACGCUCAUGCACGAAAGCGUGGGGAGCAAACAGG